CGGCGGGCGUGGCCUUGCGCGUGCCGCCGCCGACGGGGACGUUGCGGAGCGCUCCCCCGCGCGUCCAGUAGCGGCGGCAGGCCCGGCAGAAGUAGCGCGGCUGGGACAGGUUGUAGUUGUUGUAGUAGCAGAACUUGGUGUUGGCGGACUCGCAGCGCGGGCACGGCAGGCCCUCCGGCUCCCGCCCGCCUCCCGUGCCGGUACCGCCGCCGCCGCCGCCGGUGGCCACGGGAGCCGGCAGCGGCCUCCCGUCCGGCACCUGGCCCACCUCCGUGGCAGCGGAAGAGCGAACCAUCCCUCCUCUCCUCUCCUCUCCCGGUUGUUGCUAGCCAAGGUCGCUCGUACGUACCAGUUGUUGGUCGAUACGGUGGCAA
rnacentral:misc_RNA from 1 species